AGGACGAACGCUGGCGGCGUGCUUAACACAUGCAAGUCGAGCGGUAAGGCUCCUUCGGGAGUACACGAGCGGCGAACGGGUGAGUAACACGUGAGCAAUCUGCCCUUCUCAUCGGAAUAACCAUUGGAAACGAUGGCUAAUGCCGAAUAUGACCUCGGAUCACAUGUUCUGAGUGGAAAGCUCCGGCGGAGAAGGAUGAGCUCGCGGCCUAUCAGCUUGUUGGUGAGGUAACGGCUCACCAAGGCUGCGAGUGGGUAGCUGGUCUGAGAGGACGAUCAGCCACACUGGGACUGAGACACGGUCAGA
rnacentral:rRNA from 1 species